GUCUACGCCCAUACCACUCUGAACGCGCCCAAUCUCGUCUGAUCUCGGAAGCUAAGCAGGGUCAGGCCUGGUUAGUACUUGGAUGGGAGAAAACUACAAAUUGAGGCUGGCAUUGUGG
rnacentral:rRNA from 1 species